GUGCGGUAUGCGAUAACACGCACUCCACCCGGUCGUUUCCCGAACUCGUCGUCCUUCUUCAUCUAUCGCAUAACUGUGGCGCUUCCUAUCUGGACCUACACCAACGAAAGUAGCAAAAAGCCGGCGCCGUUUGAACUGAAAAAUGUAUUUGAUGUAUGGCCGGCUAGCCAGUCAUCCCAGGGCUGGGUGCUUCCCAAGCCUUCAGGUCGCACAAUAUACCAACUGAUGGGACAUCUCGGACAAUUGAAACAACUAAAAUAACCGACAAAACAAAUUGCAAAUGGACACUACUCGACAAUCAAUAUCCCAUUCCCCUAACAUAGAUGUGGACCAGGUCGAGGUGUCGGUGUCUUACCUCUGACGUGCCCGUCCUACCUGAGAUCCGGGUCAUAACGUUCUGAAUCUCCCUGCCAUGUGCAGUCACCCUCUCGGUUUUGCGGAUCCUCCUCCCCCAUACGAAACAAUUAGAAAUUCAUUAUUUUAUUUCCUUAUAAUUUUUAUCUCAACAUCACAAUUUUACAUAUGGGUACCUGUACUAACCUACGCAUGCCUAUUCAUGCCCCACUCAUCUUAUUCUUACGGGUGAUUAUAUAAAUAAAUGG
rnacentral:sRNA from 1 species